rnacentral:rRNA from 1 species
UGGGGAAUUUUGGACAAUGGGGGAAACCCUGAUCCAGCCAUCCCGCGUGUGCGAUGAAGGCCUUCGGGUUGUAAAGCACUUUUGGCAGGAAAGAAACGUCAUGGGUUAAUACCCCGUGAAACUGACGGUACCUGCAGAAUAAGUACCGGCUAACUACGUGCCAGCAGCCGCGGUAAUACGUAGGGUGCAAGCGUUAAUCGGAAUUACUGGGCGUAAAGCGUGCGCAGGCGGUUCGGAAAGAAAGAUGUGAAAUCCCAGAGCUCAACUUUGGAACUGCAUUUUUAACUACCGGGCUAGAGUGUGUCAGAGGGAGGUGGAAUUCCGCGUGUGGCAGUGAAAUGCGUAGAUAUGCGGAGGAACACCGAUGGCGAAGGCAGCCUCCUGGGAUAACUCUGACGCUCAUGCACGAAAGCGUGGGGAGCAAACAGG